rnacentral:rRNA from 1 species
GAUGAACGCUGGCGGCGUGCCUAAUACAUGCAAGUCGAGCGAACAGACGAGGAGCUUGCUCCUCUGACGUUAGCGGCGGACGGGUGAGUAACACGUGGAUAACCUACCUAUAAGACUGGGAUAACUUCGGGAAACCGGAGCUAAUACCGGAUAAUAUAUUGAACCGCAUUGUUCAAUAGUGAAAGACGGUGUUGCUGUCACUUAUCGAUGGAUCCGCGCCGCAUUAGCUAGUUGGUAAGGUAACGGCUUACCAAGGCAACGAUGCGUAGCCGAACUGAGAGGGUGAUCGGCCACCCUGGAACUGAGACACGGUCCAGAGUCCUACGGGAGGCAGCAGUAGGGAAUCUUACGCAAUGGGCGAAAGCAUGACGGAGCAACGCCGCGUGAGAGAUGAAGGUCUUCGGAUCGUAAAACUCUGUUACUAGGGAAGAACAAAUGUGUAAGUAACUAUGCACGUCUUGACGGUACCUAAUCAGAAAGCCACGGCUAACUACGUG